CCCAGUUAAAUGUUCAUUUUUUUAUUAACCAGGGAAUUAUAGUUCCCCUACAAUUUUUGCUGAUUAAUGUUCCUUUAAUAUGUUCCCCAAAUAUUGUUCAACUUUUUUGUUCCCCCAAUAAUGUUCCCUAAAUAAUGCUUCUUUAAUAUUGUUCUCCAAAAUGUUCCCCAAAUAAUUGUUAAUGCCGAGGAAAAAUUAUUUGACUUGAAGAACAUUUUUAAACUUCAGAGAACAUUAUUUAUUAGGGAACAAUUUAGUGUUUUUUUAGAACGUUAUUGAGGGAACAUUAUUAUAUUCAGAAUGCAGUAAAAAAAUUCCUUGAAGAAUGUUCCCUCAUUAAUGUUCCUUUAAUAAUGUUCCCCAAAUAAAUGUUCAAUUUCUUUUGUUCCCCUAUAAUGUUCUUUGAAGAAUGUCCCUUUAAUAAUGGUCUCCAAUUAAAUGUUUAUUUUUCUUGUCCCCCCAAUAACGUUCCCUGAAUAAUGUUCUCCAAAUAAUGUUCCCUCAUCAAUGUUCCCUUAAUAAUCUAAUUUUUGAUGUUCCCUCAACAAUGUUUGAACUAUUUUGUAAGUGCUAAGCAAUUUUUUAUUGAGGGAACAUUAUUCAUGGAACAAUUAUUUAUUCAAGCUUCGGAGAACAUUGUUCAACUAAUUUCUUUUGGCACCCAGGAACAUUUUGCAACGAACGUUAUCCAGGGAACAUUAUACAGUUAUCAUUAUUUUACAGAACACUAUUCAAGGAACAUUUUUUCUAGUGACAUUAUUUGUUGAUGCCGAGGAAAUAUUUAUUUGACUUGAAGAACAUUUUUAUACUUCAGAGAACAUUUUUUAUUUGAAGAACAUUUUAUUUUAUUUUUUAUUUGAGAACAUUAUCCAAUGAACAUUAUUCAAGGAACAAUUUUUUAUUGAGAAUCUAGUAAAUAUUUCUUCCAAGGAAAUUUAUAUACAACAUUAAGCAGCAAACUUCAAGGUUUUGUUUGCUGCCACAUUCGGAAAUUCUAGUUCUUUCAAGAUAGGAAACUUUGAAUCAAGAUUUGUACCAGCUCCCAAGGUCAAUUUCAGGUGGGUUUUCCAUGGAAAUCUCCCCUUUUACAAGAUUUGUACCAGCCACCACCAACUUUUUGGUUCUUUCUCCUAAAAAAAGAGAUUAAAAGUAUUUUAAAUUCACAAUAAUUUCCAUCUUGAGUAUGGAACUGAUUGUGCUAUUAUUAUUUUUCACAGGUAUGACUCAGGAAUUUUCCUUCUUCAGUAUGUUAGCAAGUACAAAGGUCUCGGAUUGGAGGGGUUCUCUAAUGUAAGCGAUAGACAUAUUUUUCCUUUUUGGUCAUUAAUUGGAACAUAUCAGGAAUUAAACUGCACUUUUUCUAAAAUACUGUAGGAUGAUUUACAAGCUCUACGUCAAAAUUCCUUUUUGAGAUUGUAACUUGCAAGGACAAUGAAAUUCAGCUGCCCUGAGUAACUUCUUUCCUGCAGAGACAUGUAAGUUCUCUAUUUAUUUGUCUCCCAAGGACAGAAAAGAGAUGUUAUCUUAGAGCCCGUUCUUUCAUACCAAACCUGUAUAUGUUUCAACGGGGUUUCCACAUAUUCAAGUGAAGCUUUGAAGGCCAAUCUUUACUCAUUCUGCAUACGUAGUCACCUUAGGUAACUUCUGAAAUCAGCAGUUCCUGUUAGUUAGUGUAACAAGGUUCACCCUAAGAAACCCAUUGAUCAAAUGUUUUGCACCUGUAUUCCCAAUUAACAUGUUUCUUCUUUCUAUUCUCAAGGGUAUGAUUAUUCCUAUUAGUUAGUGUAACAGGGUUCACCCAAAAGAAUCUAAAUGAUGAAAUGUUUUGCACCUGUAUUUCCAAUUAACAUAUUUCUUCUUUCUAUUCUCAAGGGUCUCAUUAAUAUUGUCACCUUCAAGGGAAGUUGCACUGCAAGAUUCAACUCAAAGGAAUACUUCCAUGGGAAAAAUGUUUCCUUAUCGAUAGAGCUAUCUUUUUUUCUCUUGCUGGUCUAGUGAUAGUUUCUUCCAAGACCUUCAGCUGUAAACAAUGUCUGAAAACAGCUGAAGCAGUUUUAUAAACGAGCAGUAAGACAUGUACAUUUUUUUGUCUUUCAUGACGCCUUGGUGAUACUAUCAUCACUCAAUUUCAUCAAGCUGUAAGCUUACCACUUUUAUGACAGUUUUAGAAUUACCACUUUGUAACAAAUGUAAAAUGAAAUUUCAUGUUUUUUUUAUAAUUAAAAACUAGUUGAAUCAAUAGGAACAGCACCUGGGUUCAGAAAUAGGAAUCGAUUUCUUUGGGAAACAGUAGAAACAGCACCUGGGUUCAGAAAUAGAAACCGA
rnacentral:lncRNA from 1 species